rnacentral:misc_RNA from 1 species
GGACUCUCACACUCUCUGAUCCUUUGGAUUCGGGAGCGGUGGACUUGGGUGUUUUGCUGCUUUUCCUUGCGGCUCACCUCAAAUGCGUUAGUGCACCUCUUGGUUGGACAUAGUACGGCGUGAUAAGUAUCUUCGCCGGCACCUCGCGAGAGCUCUGUGCUUUCCAACCGUCUUCGGACAACCUCUGACC